rnacentral:rRNA from 19 species
GCCGCGGUACCCUGACCGUGCUAAGGUAGCGCAAUCACUUGCCCUUUAAUUGGGGGCUAGUAUGAAUGGUCAAACGAGGGUGAAACUGUCUCAUCAGUGUUACCUAAAACUUAUCCUACAUGUGAAGAGACAUGUAUUAAGUAGAAAGACGAGAAGACCCUGUCAAGCUUUACACCUAUUUACGCCGCCCACCCCUUUGCAUAAUCGGUGUUUUGUUGGGGCAACACAGGAACUAAAUCUUCCUUACCUACUAAACCCCCUCAUUCAAACGAUCCGGUACAACCGAACACAGACAAAGCUACUGCAGGGAUAACAGGCUAAUCUGCUUCGAGAGCCCACAUUGACAAGCAGGCUUGGCACCUCGAUGUUGGCUUAGGAACCCUUGUUGGGGCAGCACCCAAUAAAAGGAGGUUUGUUCAACCUAUAAAUUCCU